UUGGGUUUAAGUGUGCGCAGGCGGUCCGUUAAGACAGUCGUGAAAGCCCCUGGGCUUAACCUGGGAACUGCGAUUGUGACUGGCGGGCUAGAGUGUGGCAGAGGGGGGUGGAAUUCCUGGUGUAGCAGUGAAAUGCGUAGAGAUCAGGAGGAACACCGAUGGCGAAGGCAGCCCCCUGGGCUGACACUGACGCUCAUGCACGAAAGCGUGGGGAGCAAAACAGGAUUAGAUA
rnacentral:rRNA from 1 species